GAUGAACGCUGGCGGCGUGCCUAAUACAUGCAAGUCGAGCGAACAGAUAAGGAGCUUGCUCCUUUGACGUUAGCGGCGGACGGGUGAGUAACACGUGGGUAACCUACCUAUAAGACUGGGAUAACUUCGGGAAACCGGAGCUAAUACCGGAUAACAUUUGGAACCGCAUGGUUCUAAAGUGAAAGAUGGUUUUGCUAUCACUUAUAGAUGGACCCGCGCCGUAUUAGCUAGUUGGUAAGGUAACGGCUUACCAAGGCAACGAUACGUAGCCGACCUGAGAGGAUGAUCGGCCACACUGGAACUGAGACACGGUCCAGACUCCUACGGGAGGCAGCAGUAGGGAAUCUUCCGCAAUGGGCGAAAGCCUGACGGAGCAACGCCGCGUGAGUGAUGAAGGGUUUCGGCUCGUAAAACUCUGUGAUUAGGGAAGAACAAAUGUGUAAGUAACUGUGCACGUCUUGACGGUACCUAAUCAGAAAGCCACGGCUAACUACGUG
rnacentral:rRNA from 1 species